rnacentral:rRNA from 1 species
UACGUAGGGUGCAAGCGUUGUCCGGAAUUAUUGGGCGUAAAGAGCUCGCAGGCGGUUUGUCGCGUCUGCUGUGAAAACUCAGGGCUUAACCCUGAGCCUGCAGUGGGUACGGGCAGACUAGAGUGUGGUAGGGGAGAUCGGAAUUCCUGGUGUAGCGGUGGAAUGCGCAGAUAUCAGGAGGAACACCGGUGGCGAAGGCGGAUCUCUGGGCCAUAACUGACGCUGAGGAGCGAAAGCAUGGGGAGCGAACAGG